rnacentral:rRNA from 1 species
AUCGGUAGGGGUUCUGAGAGGAAGGCCCCCCACAUUGGGACUGAGACACGGCCCAAACUCCUACGGGAGGCAGCAGUGAGGGAUAUUGGUCAAUGGCCGUAAGGCUGAACCAGCCAAGUAGCGUGCAGGAUGACGGCCCUAUGGGUUGCAGACUGCUUUUGCGCGGGGAUAACUGGCGGCACGCGUGCCGCCUUGCAGGUACCGCGCGAAUAAGGACCGGCUAAUUCCGUGCCAGCAGCCGCGGUAAUACGGAAGGUCCCGGUGUUAUCCGGAUUCAUUGGGUUUAAAGGGAGCGCAGGCCGCCCGUCAAGCGUGUUGUGAAAUGCAGUCGCCCAACGGCUGAGCUGCAGCGCGAACUGGCGGGCUUGAGUGCGCGCAACGCCGGCGGAACUCGCCGUGUAGCGGUGAAAUGCUUAGAUAUGGCGAAGAACCCCGAUUGCGAAGGCAGCCGGCGGGCGCGCUACUGACGCUCAUGCUCGAAAGCGCGGGUAUCGAACAGGAUUAGAUACCCUGGUAGUCCGCGCGGUAAACGAUGGAUGCCCGCCCUCCGGGCGAUUGAGUUUGGGGGGCCAAGCGAAAGCGUUAAGCAUCCCACCUGGGGAGUACGCCGGCAACGGUGAAACUCAAAGGAAUUGACGGGGGCCCGCACAAGCGGAGGAACAUGUGGUUUAAUUCGAUGAUACGCGAGGAACCUUACCCGGGCUUGAAUUGCAGAAGACGGAUCCAGAGAUGGUGACUCCCUUCGGGGCUUCUGUGAAGGUGCUGCAUGGUUGUCGUCAGCUCGUGCCGUGAGGUGUCGGCUCAAGUGCCAUAACGAGCGCAACCCCCCUCUGUAGUUGCCAUCAGGUUUAGGCUGGGCACUCUACGGACACUGCCACCGCAAGGUGUGAGGAAGGUGGGGACGACGUCAAAUCAGCACGGCCCUUACGUCCGGGGCGACACACGUGUUACAAUGGCCGGUACAGCGAGCAGGCCCCCCGCAAGGUGGGCCCAAUCAACAAAGCCGGCCUCAGUUCGGACUGGGGUCUGCAACCCGACCCCACGAAGCUGGAUUCGCUAGUAAUCGCGCAUCAGCCAUGGCGCGGUGAAUACGUUCCCGGGCCUUGCACUCACCGCCCGUCAAG